rnacentral:rRNA from 1 species
UACGGAGGGAGCUAGCGUUGUUCGGAAUUACUGGGCGUAAAGCGCGCGUAGGCGGCUUUGUAAGUUAGAGGUGAAAGCCCGGGGCUCAACCCCGGAACUGCCUUAAAACUGCAUCGCUUGAAUCCGGGAGAGGUGAGUGGAAUUCCGAGUGUAGAGGUGAAAUUCGUAGAUAUUCGGAAGAACACCAGUGGCGAAGGCGGCUCACUGGACCGGCAUUGACGCUGAGGUGCGAAAGCGUGGGGAGCAAACAGG